UUUCCCUUCGGCACGUCGGAUGAUAUGUCUGAGGAACUGCCUGAUGGAGGGGGAUAACUACUGGAAACGGUAGCUAAUACCGCAUAACGUCGCAAGACCAAAGAGGGGGACCUUCGGGCCUCUUGCCAUCAGAUGUGCCCAGAUGGGAUUAGCUAGUAGGUGGGGUAAUGGCUCACCUAGGCGACGAUCCCUAGCUGGUCUGAGAGGAUGACCAGCCACACUGGAACUGAGACACGGUCCAGACUCCUACGGGAGGCAGCAGUGGGGAAUAUUGCACAAUGGGCGCAAGCCUGAUGCAGCCAUGCCGCGUGUGUGAAGAAGGCCUUCGGGUUGUAAAGCACUUUCAGCGAGGAGGAAGGUGGUGAACUUAAUACGCUCAUCAACUGACGUUACUCGCAAA
rnacentral:rRNA from 1 species